rnacentral:misc_RNA from 1 species
AAGCGACAGAUAGAGCUGUUGAGGGAAUGCCAGAACAUGGGUCUCGCAUUGCCUGGGCUGGCAUUGGCUCAACAGCUCUAUCUGUCGCUUAAAGCUCAUGGUGAGGGUGAUUUAGGAACCCAAGCUCUCAUUCUAGCCCUUGAGAGGAUUAACAAUUUGUCCCUUCAAUCUGAGGCUUCUGCUAUUGGCAAACCUUAGACUGAUUAUCUGUUUGAUCCUUGACCACUAUGUAUCCAUUUCUUAAUGUUAAAAUGUCCUGACAUUUGUAUUUUGUAUCGUUUAUCCUUCUAUGAAUGUUGA